rnacentral:rRNA from 1 species
UGGCGGCGUGCCUAAUACAUGCAAGUCGAACGGUCUUUCUAUGGAAGCUUGCUCCACUGAGAAGAUAGUGGCGAACGGGUGGAGUAACACGUGGGUAACCUGCCCAUAAGAGGGGGAUAACAUCCGGAAACGGGUGCUAAUACCGCAUAGUUUUCUUGAUUGCAUGAUUGAGAAAGGAAAGACGGCCUUUGUGCUGUCGCUUAUGGAUGGACCCGCGGCGUAUUAGUUAGUUGGUGAGGUAACGGCUCACCAAGACGAUGAUACGUAGCCGACCUGAGAGGGUGAUCGGCCACAUUGGGACUGAGACACGGCCCAAACUCCUACGGGAGGCAGCAGUAGGGAAUCUUCCGCAAUGGACGAAAGUCUGACGGAGCAACGCCGCGUGAGUGAAAGAAGGUUUUCGGAUCGUAAAACUCUGUUGUCAGAGAAGAACAAGUUGGAGAGUAACUGCUCCAGCCUUGACGGUAUCUGACCAGAAAGCCACGGCUAACUACGUGCCAGCCGCCGC